CUUGACGUCAGACACGUUUCUUUAUGGUGGAUUUCAGCAGGGAUGAAAAAUUAUCAGUGCAUCAUCUUCUUUACUCUCUUGCAGCUUACUUUGGGUGAGAGUUACACUCUUAUGUAUAUUAUUUUUUAAGUUGGGUUAUGGUUAAACAUUAAAUAUUGUUUUAUGACAGCCUGUCAAACUGUUUUAUGAAACAAUUGCUGAAUGUAUCUCAUAGGGUUUUUUUUUUUAGGGAUCUUUAUUCGGAGCACAAAGAAUUAUUAUUUUUUUUUUUUUCUAAAAUAGGAUGCUGUUCAGUAGUACUAAAUGUGAUUAUAUGCUGUUUUUCAUAGAAAUCAACAAUUUCAGUCUUCAUAGGAUAAAGAAGAUGCAUUUCACACAUUAUUUAGGAUCAACAGUGUUUCAGGGGAACAUUUGAAUACAAAGACGUGGAGACACAGAGUUACAGAGUUGCAUUUCUACUCUCUUAAAAAUAAAGGUUAUUUACUGGCAUCUAUGGUUCAAUGAAAAACAUCCACUUUCCAUUGCACAAGAGGUUCUUUAUAGUGGAAGAAGAUUCUUUAGAAUAUAAAAUGUUCUUCACACUAAGAAAAAAUGUUUCUUUUAAGAACUUUUCACUGAAAUCAAUGAUUAACUUGAUCCUCUCUCUUGUUAAAGGUACACACAAAUCCAUACUGAAGGGACAGACUGUAAUGCUUCCUCUCCCUGAAUUUCCAUUGAGGACCAUUAAUUCAAUUGAAUGGAAAUACCACACAAUCAACAAAACCAUCCUGCUGGCCAAGAUCAAUCUAAAUAAACAGAAUUCAAAAAUUUUCAGCAAGAGGACUGGGAUGCAAAUAAUGAAGAAUGGUACACUUCACAUUGAAGAUAUAAAAGAUGAAGACUCUGGGAACUACUCUUGCACCAUCAUUUUCAAUGAUCAAAAGAUGCAGAUAGAGCAAAUUUUUCUUCAAGUACAUGAUGACUUGAAGACUGAACCUCCAAACAGCACACUGUACACCACAACAUUGAAACCAUCAGAAUCCAGCGUUUCUGGCAGAGCAUUGAUCACAAUACUUGUGUGCUCAGCACUUGCAGUCAUCUUAAUUGUAGCCACUAUUUUCGUCUUCAAAUGCAGAAAAAAGAGUUGCUGCACUUCAGAAGAACACAUCUAUGCCAAUAACACAAUAAUUCAAGGAAAUAAAAGGUCACAGGUGGGCAGAAGGACGUCAGAUAAUAAAAAUGGAUAAAGGCCCCCUAUAGCAAAGAGGUAAAAAACCAUGAUGAUGCUGCAGCACAUAAACUACCUCUUUUUGCCUUAGAAACAAAUGUAUAGAGCGCUGCAGUAAUGACGCAUUUCUGUAGGCUAAACUGGAAGUUACCAUCACCCUGGUUCCCUCAACAAAAACCUAUAGAGUUUAUAUAACUUUAUUCUUUAAUGAGAACACUUUUUUGGUUUAUGGUUAAGUGAUUGUUUUUUUUUUUUUUUUUCUUUUUCUUUUAUUGUUGUUCUUGUGUUAAAUGUAGAUAUUGUUGAUAGUUCACCAAUGAAAUCUUUGCUUACCACUGAGGGUGAAAUUAGUAUUUCACUGAGGGUGUAGUAUAAAAUGUCAGAAUGCAUGACUACUUUUAAAUUAACAUCACAGAGAAACAAAAUGGCGUAUUUGUGGUAUCUGUUAGCAACUAUUUUUAUAACUAUUUAUUAUCUUACUUUUCUGUGGGUCCCACUUUAAGUGUCUUUAACUAAUAUGUACUAACAGUUAAAUUCAUCAAUUUAUACAAUGCACUUAUUGUGUACAUAUAUGUUUUUACUUAUAUUAUUAAUACCUGCAUGCAAUUACAUCUGUAAUUAAUUUCUGUAAAUGAGCGUUCUCAAGAACCCCGGUAACCAGAGCGGCCAAGGUGUAAUACUGGUGCUUAACAGGUAUGAAGUGUAUUUGAAAUUAUUAUUAUUAUUAUUAUUAUUAUUAUUGGUGGUGGUGAAUCGAUUUGGAUGUGAUGUACGUAAUUUUGUUAAUUUUGUAUAUGUAUCAUGUAUAUAUACAUAUGUAUAAAUUUGUGUAUUUGUAA